GAUGAAGAACGUAGCGAAAUGCGAUAAGUAAUGUGGAUUGCAGAAUUCAGUGAAUCAUCGAAUCUUUGAACGCACAUUGCGCCCGCCAGUAUUCUGGCGGGCAUGCCUGUUCGAGCGUCAUUUCAACCAUCAAGCCCCCGGCUUGUGUUGGGGACCUGCGGCUGCCGCAGGCCCUGAAAAGCAGUGGCGGGCUCGCUGUCACACCGAGCGUAGUAGCAUACAUCUCGCUCUGGGCGUGCUGCGGGUUCCGGCCGUUAAACCACCUUCAUAACCCAAGGUUGACCUCGGAUCAGGUAGGAAGACCCGCUGAACUUAAGCAUAUCAAUAAGCGGAGGA
rnacentral:misc_RNA from 1 species